GACGAACGCUGGCGGCGUGCUUAACACAUGCAAGUCGAACGAAGUGGCGAACGGGUGAGUAACGCGUAAUCAACCUGCCCUUCAGCGGGGGACAACAGUUGGAAACGACUGCUACUACCGCAUACUGAAGGAGGGGAUUGCGUCUGAUUAGCUAGUUGGAGGGGUAACGGCCAACCAAGGCGAUGAUCAGUAGCCGGUCGGAGAGGAUGAACGGCAACAUUGGGACUGAGAAACGGCCCAGACUCCUACGGGAGGCAGCAGUGGGGAAUAUUCCGAAAUGGACGAAAGUCUGACGGAGCAACGCCGCGGGAGUGAUGACGGCCGUCGGGUUGUAAAGCUCUGUUAAUCGGGACGCGGUACCGGAAUAGAAAGCAACGGCUAACUACGUGCCAGCAGCCGCGGUAAUAC
rnacentral:rRNA from 1 species